UGGGGUGCCAGAGGUGCUAGUAUCCUGCUCUUUCUGAACUGGCUUGCAGGUGCCAGCAAGAUAGAGAUGGAGACCUGUACUUCCCCAGGUUACUUUUCCCCACCAGCAUUCCUCUCAAACAUUUCUUCAGCUCAGGAAGGUGACUUGGUUCUUGCACGCUGCCUCAUUUUUUCCCACUUCCCCAUUGUCCGCAUCUUCUUCUGCAAGAAUGGGGUGGAGCUGGCAAACCACCCAGUCAAGAAAGGACAGUUCACCUCCACGCUCACUUUCCGGCUCUCCCCAGAGAGCAGUGGCACCUACUCUUGUGGUUAUCUGCGCUUGAGCAGCCUUGGAC